AGAGCAACGACGCAGGUAGCAACGCUAGUUGAUAGAUUAACCUUUUGCCGUAUCCAGUCGGCAAAACUC